ensembl:lncRNA
CCAUAGACAGUAAAAGAAAUGGACACAGCGACCCCAUUGGAACUCAAUUGAGACAAGUGAAGCCCGUUUUUAGCGAUUUUUAGAACUUCCGUUUCUGACGCGCAGACUCAAACUAAGCUUGAUGACGUCAGCAACCUGCCUGACAGAUGUAAAUCUUCUAGUAGCUGUGCGUGCAAACUGCCAUCGUUAAUCUUGCAGAGACGGCGAGCUUGAGCGGGGAGUUCUUUGGCCUGAGUGAGCAGGAAAAUAAAUAAUGGACAAAUGGAGUCUUUAAACGCCUCAGAUGUAAAGUUAUUCGCUGUCAAAGUGACGCAAAAAUGAAUGGGAGUCAAUGGGAUGCUAACGCAAACAGUAAAAGAAAUGGACACAGCGACCCCAUUGGAACUCAAUUGAGACAAGUGAAGCCCGUUUUUAGAGAUUUUUAGAACUUCCGUUUCUGACGCGCAGACUCAAACUAAGCUUGAUGACGUCAGCAACCUGUCUGACAGAUGUAAACCUUCUAGUAGCUGUGCGUGCAAACUGCCAUCGUUAAUCUUGCAG